rnacentral:tRNA from 1 species
UCCUGGCUGGCUCAGUCAGUAGAGCAUGUGACUGUUUAUCUCAGGGUCAUGAGUUUGAGCCCCAUGUUGGGUA